AGAAUAAUUUUAUAUCUUAUCUUACUUUACACUGCAUUAUUCUUACCUAGAUUUCUUCAUGCUCGAGAUCUUUAUAAUAAUAUAAUGAUUAAAAUUUAUCAAAAUGUGAGAUUUAUUCCAGGAUAGAAUGUCAUCACAUUCCUUUAGAAUCACAUUCUAUUAUUCAAGUCAUAUGAGAAGAAAUCUGUUUUAUUUUCUGAGUGCUUCUCUCAACUUUUCUGGACAGCUUUACAGUGUUUUGGGGCUUUAAUGAUCUCCUGUGGAUUUUUAAAUGCCAUCAUGUUUUAGUAAUUGAAACAAACAAUAUUUAUGUUGGAGGUCUGUUGCUAAUGAUGUUACUGCUGGGGUCAGUGUCAGGUCCAGUCCCAUUCAACUUGUCAAAGACUUGGAUAGAGGGAAAGAGUGCACCCUCAGCGAGUUUGCAGUUGUUUCAGAACUUGGUGGAGUGGCUGACACACCAGGAGCCUGUGCUACUAUUCAGAGAGACAUGGACAGGGUGGAGACCCUAAUGAAUUUGACAGACGCAAGUGUGUAAUCCUAUACCUGGGGAGGAACAAUCCCAUUUACCAGUACAGGAAAUCAGCUCUGCACAGAAGGACCUGGGAGUCAUGAUGGUACAAAAGUCAGCCAUGGGCCAGCUGUGUGUCCUUGUGGUUGAGAAUGCCAAUGGUAUCCCAGGCUGUGUUAGGAAGAGCACUGCCAGCUGGUCAAGAGGUGAUUCUUCCCCUAUGCUUAGACCUGGAGAGGGCACAUCUGGAGUGCUGUGUCCAGUUCUGGGUUCCUCAGUACAGCAAAGACAAGGAACUACUGGAGAGGGCCCAGUGGAAGGCUAUGGAAAUAACUAGGGGAGUGGAGACCCUCUCUCCUGAGAAAAUGCUGAGAGUUGUGUCUGUUCAGCCUUGAGAAGAGAUGAAUGAGACAGGAUCUUGUCAAUGCCUAUAGAUGCAUUAUAAAGAGGAAGGGGCAGUCUUCAGUGACAUAGUCUUCAGUGACAGGACGAGGAGCAACAGGCACAAAUCAAAACACAGGAAGUUUGACCUGAAUAAGAAGAAGAACUUGAGAGUAACAGAGCACUGGAAUAGGCUGUCCAUAAAGAUUGUGAAAUCUUCUGCUCUGGAGAUAUUCAAAAGCCACCUGGAGCGGGUCUGUUCUUUUAGAAUGACGUUGAGCUACAUGAUCUUCAGUGGUCCUUCCAACCCUGACCAUUCUGUGAUCCUGUGAAAGGUACAAUUGAAAAGUUCUAUAUAAGAAUACACAAAAAAAAUGGAGCAAUAAAUCAUUAAUCUUCUUGUUCUUAUAUUGAUUAUUUUCCUGGAAACAAAUGAAUAAAUAUAAACUUAAAUCAGGUAAAUUAUUUCAUUAAAAUAUUAUUUUCUUAUAUUCGUCUGUGUUUCCUAUGUACUGGUAAAACAAGCCUGGAUGAGCUGGAACUUUCCACUGUGUAUCAGUGGCUCAUGUAAAUUUUUUAUGCUUUUCUUCAUGAUGAAAUGCAUUUGGUCAUGAAGGGAAAAAUAUGAAGUGCACGUGGCAACUAACAGAUGAGUUCAUCUGGAAUUUGAAAAUCAGUUUUUUGUUUACAAGGUCUUACUAAAACUUGCAGACACUUUUGAAAAAGUGCAUUGGAUGUAGCCACAAUGUCACUUAAUUAGCUGAUAACCUUCUAAAAUGGAAUCUCAUUUUCUAAUUUUCUCCUACUUUAAAGAAUAACAUUAUUCUAUUUUGCAGUUUUUACAAAUCCCUUCUAAUUGUCAUGCAGUAUGUUAGCUUCAAACACUUAUACCUUUAAUUGCUUUUACAUUGCCUCUACGUUGCAAACUCAAAAAAAAAAUAAAAUUACAAUCAAUAAUGUAGUGGUAACACGUCAACAUCUGUGAAAAACUAUCAAUCUUUCAUAAGAAA